CAUUUCCACCAAAACACCCUCCACAUGUAAAGCCACCUUUCCACCCCAAACCACCGCAUCACAAGCCACCCCAUGUCAAACCACCGCACAAGCCCCCGUAUGUUCCUAAACCACCUUAUUCCCCAAGCCCUAAACCGCCUUACGUGCCAAAACCACCUCAUACUCCAGUCCCUAGGCCACCAUAUUUCCCCAAACCACCUUACACACCAAGGCCUAAGCCACCAUAUGCGCCAAAACCACCUUAUACGCCAACCCCUAAGCCACCAUAUUUCCCCAAACCACCUUACACACCAAGGCCGAAGCCACCAUAUGUGCCAAAACCACCUUAUACGCCAGCCCCUAAGCCACCAUAUUUUCCCAAACCACCUUACACACCAAGGCCUAAGCCACCAUAUGCACCAAAACCACCUUAUACGCCAACACCUAAGCCACCAUAUUUCCCCAAACCACCUUACACACCAAGGCCUAAGCCACCGUACGUGCCAAAACCACCGUACACACCAAGGCCUAAGCCACCGUACGUGCCAAAACCACCAUACACACCAACCCCUAAGCCACCGUACGUGCCAAAACCACCUUACACCCCAACCCCUAAGCCACCGUACGUGCCAAAACCACCGUAUACCCCAACUCCUAAGCCACCGUACGUCCCAUCGCCACCUUAUACCCCUCGCCCUAAACCACCGUAUGUACCAUCACCACCUUAUACCCCUAGCCCUAAACCACCGUAUGUGCCAUCACCACCAUAUACCCCAAGCCCUACCCCACCAUAUGUACCAUCACCACCGUAUACCCCAAGCCCACCAUAUGUACCAUCACCACCGUAUACCCCAAGCCCUAGCCCACCACCACCACCAAGUGGAACACCGUGUCCUCCGCCGCCGCCACCAAAGGUGAGACCGUACCCUCCACCACCAUCACAAACUUGUCCCAUUGAUACUCUCAAGCUUGGUGCAUGCGUCGACGUGUUGGGCGGUCUAAUACACAUCGGUAUAGGCAGCAGUGCAAAGGACGCUUGCUGCCCCGUGCUGCAGGGGCUACUGGACUUGGAUG
rnacentral:lncRNA from 1 species